GGCUCCGUGGCGCAACUGGAUAGCGCAUCAGAUUUCGGCUCUGAGGGUUGGGGGUUCGAAUCCCUUCGGGGUCACUA
rnacentral:tRNA from 1 species